rnacentral:rRNA from 1 species
CCUACGGGUGGCAGCAGUGAGGAAUAUUGGUCAAUGGACGAGAGUCUGAACCAGCCAAGUAGCGUGAAGGAUGACUGCCCUAUGGGUUGUAAACUUCUUUUAUAUAGGAAUAAAACAAGGCAUGCGUGCCUUCUUGCAUGUACCUUAUGAAUAAGGAUCGGCUAACUCCGUGCCAGCAGCCGCGGUAAUACGGAGGAUCCGAGCGUUAUCCGGAUUUAUUGGGUUUAAGGGGAGCGUGGAGGGGUUGUUAAGUCAGUUGUGAAAGUUUGCGGCUCAACCGUAAAUUGCAGUUGAAAUUGGGAGUCUUGAGUACAGUAGAGGUAGGCGGAAUUCGUGGUGUAGCGGUGAAAUGCUUAGAUAUCACGAAGAACACCGAUUGCGAAGGCAGCUUACUGGACUGUAACUGACAUUGAUGCUCGAAAGUGUGGGUAUCAAACAGGAUUAGAUACCCUAGUAGUC